GUCUUUCCUCAAUUUUACGCAUGAUCAUUCAUCAUAGUGAUAUGGUUCUGCAAAAAUCUAUAUGCAUCAAGAUUCAGAAGUGGAGUACAGUGAUUAGUUCGUGUAAGAUUAUGUUUCAAAAAUUUCAAAUCACAGCUCCAGCUGAAUUGGACGAGAUCAUUUACAUGUAUUUGUGCUUGUAAUUAACACUUGUUUCCGGCCCUUGUUAUGAGAUUAAAGAUGAAUACAAUCUCAACAAUUUCGAACUGCAGCUAUGCAUCUUGAUUGAUUUGAGCCGGAGAAUUCUGUUAUAAGAGAAAACCAUUGCUUGUCACUGUC
rnacentral:lncRNA from 1 species